CCUGCCGAUUAUUCCGGGAUAGCCUUUCGAAAGAAAGAUUAAUACUGGAUAGCAUAACGAGAAGGCAUCUUCUUGUUAUUAAAGAAUUUCGAUAAUCGAUGGGGAUGCGUUCCAUUAGUUUGUUGGCGGGGUAACGGCCCACCAAGACAUCGAUGGAUAGGGGUUCUGAGAGGAAGGUCCCCCACAUUGGAACUGAGACACGGUCCAAACUCCUACGGGAGGCAGCAGUGAGGAAUAUUGGUCAAUGGACGAGAGUCUGAACCAGCCAAGUAGCGUGAAGGAUGACUGCCCUAUGGGUUGUAAACUUCUUUUAUAUGGGAAUAAAGUGAGCCACGUGUGGCUUUUUGUAUGUACCAUACGAAUAAGGAUCGGCUAACUCCGUGCCAGCAGCCGCGGUAAUACGGAGGAUCCGAGCGUUAUCCGGAUUUAUUGGGUUUAAAGGGAGCGUAGGCGGAUUAUUAAGUCAGUUGUGAAAGUUUGCGGCUCAACCGUAAAAUUGCAGUUGAUACUGGUAGUCUUGAGUGCAGCAGAGGUAGGCGGAAUUCGUGGUGUAGCGGUGAAAUGCUUAGAUAUCACGAAGAACUCCGAUUGCGAAGGCAGCUUACUGGACUGUAACUGACGCUGAUGCUCGAAAGUGUGGGUAUCAAACAGGAUUAGAUACCCUGGUAGUCCACACAGUAAACGAUGAAUACUCGCUGUUUGCGAUAUACAGCAAGCGGCCAAG
rnacentral:rRNA from 1 species